rnacentral:misc_RNA from 1 species
AACGCAUAUUGCGCCCUUUGGCAUUCCGAAGGGCAUGCCUGUUCGAGCGUCAUUGCAACCCUCAAACCUAGGUUUGAUGUUGGGCAUUUGCCACUGAAGGCAUGCCUAAAAUCUAGUGAUGGUAACCUUCAACCACAGGCGCACAGAUGCUGCUAUGUGGAAGAACCGUCGCCAUUUGAACCUUACAUAAUUCUGAAUGUUGACCUCGGAUCAGGUAGGGAUACCCGCUGAACUUAA